UACGAAGGGGGCUAGCGUUGUUCGGAAUUACUGGGCGUAAAGCGCGUGUAGGCGGCCCGGUAAGUCCGCUGUGAAAGUCGGGGGCUCAACCCUCGGAUGCCGGUGGAUACUGUCGGGCUAGAGUACGGAAGAGGCGAGUGGAAUUCCUGGUGUAGCGGUGAAAUGCGCAGAUAUCAGGAGGAACACCAAUUGCGAAGGCAGCUCGCUGGGACGUUACUGACGCUGAGACGCGAAAGCGUGGGGAGCAAACAGG
rnacentral:rRNA from 1 species